UACGGGGGGGGUAAGCGUUGUUCGGAAUUACUGGGCGUAAAGAGCUCGUAGGCGGCUUGUCGCGUCGACUGUGAAAACCCGUGGCUCAACCAUGUGGUCUGCAGUCGAUACGGGCAGGCUAGAAUUCGGUAGGGGAGACUGGAAUUCCUGGUGUAGCGGUGAAAUGCGCAGAUAUCAGGAGGAACACCGGUGGCGAAGGCGGGUCUCUGGGCCGAUAUUGACGCUGAGGAGCGAAAGCGUGGGGAGCGAACAGG
rnacentral:rRNA from 1 species